UCUAUGCGCGUGCAAGAUGAUUUUACAAAAACUUGUAUUCUUUUUGUUAUUUUAUUUCGCAAAUUGCAAUAAAAUACAUUUUUUUGCCUCAAUACGUAGUGACCCAUGUUUGACCCUUGGAAAUCGUCCGCGACCAUCACUGGAGGUACCGAGUAGUGAAUUUACGUAUUACGGUGCUCAAUUUACAGCCACUCGACAUCAUAUAAUACCACUUUCUACUUUACGGAGUUUUUUCAAUGCUGCAACACAAAAUGCGAGAUUACCUUCUCCAAUCGGAGUAUACUUGUACGACCGUUUACGUUCAAUCAUAUCCCAAAUUUCUGCUGCAGGAACAACUAUACAAAACCUUCCUUCUACUGUAAGUAGUACAUUGCCUAUCGAAUUGGAUGUAACUGAAGAAAUGUAU